rnacentral:rRNA from 1 species
UACGAAGGGGGGCUAGCGUUGCUCGGAAUCACUGGGCGUAAAGCACACGUAGGCGGAUUGUUAAGUCAGGGGUGAAAUCCUGGAGCUCAACUCCAGAACUGCCUUUGAUACUGAGGAUCUUGAGUUCGGGAGAGGUGAGUGGAACUGCGAGUGUAGAGGUGAAAUUCGUAGAUAUUGGGAAGAACACCGAUGGCGAAGGCAGCCAUCUGGACCGACACUGACGCUGAGGCGCGAAAGCGUGGGGAGCAAACCGG